GUGAAUGCUAAACUCGUGUCUACACACUCGUGUCUACAUCCAUCUUGGCAUGUUGAUGCUUUUUUCAUAAAAGGUAUGAUAAUUACAUAAUGCAUUAGUGCCACAUUCCUACACUGAGCACACAUCACAGACUCUGUCAAAUCCAUCACAGAUCACUUCUCACACUUUGCACAAAUUACAUUUGACAAAUUAUUGCAUAUCUGUGAUAGUCAAUGGACAUUUUUUCUAUAAG